UACAGAGGGUGCGAGCGUUGUUCGGAAUUAUUGGGCGUAAAGGGCGCGUAGGCGGCGCCACAAGUCACUUGUGAAAACUCUGGGCUCAACUCAGAGCCUGCAAGCGAAACUGUGGUGCUGGAGUAUGGGAGAGGUGCGUGGAAUUCCCGGUGUAGCGGUGAAAUGCGUAGAUAUCGGGAAGAACAUCGGUGGCGAAGGCGGCCAGCUGGGCCAUUGCUGACGCUGAUGCGCGACAGCGUGGGGAGCAAACAGG
rnacentral:rRNA from 1 species